GGGGCAGGACAGAGGAGAAGCCCUCGGGGCAGAUUCCCUGGGAUAACAGCUCUGGGGUGCGCAGAAGGGGAGGGAGCAAAAUCAGGAUUAUCCCACAAAACAGCGGGAACAGCCCUGCGCUCCGCAGGGGCUUCGCACCCUGCCUUGAUCGGGGAAAAACCCCCCGGGGGGGACGCGGGGCAGCCGCGGGCUCCGACCCCCGGGGAAGUUCAGGUUUCCCUGGCAGAGCCCCUGGAUGUGCUCCAGGCCCGUCCCAGCAGCAGCGUUGACUGAAAAAGGCAAAGCUGAGAUUCCAGCUGCCGCAGGGGGGGAGCAGCAGGGUGUCCGGAGGGGCUCGGAGCUGCUCGGACACCCGGACACCUCGGACACCUCGGACACCCGGACCCGCUGCUCUGGAGCCCUGGACAGCCGGACGCUCCCUCGGUGA
ensembl:lncRNA